rnacentral:rRNA from 1 species
GACGAACGCUGGCGGCGUGCUUAACACAUGCAAGUCGAACGGAAAGGCCCUGCUUUUGUGGGGUGCUCGAGUGGCGAACGGGUGAGUAACACGUGAGUAACCUGCCCUUGACUUUGGGAUAACUUCAGGAAACUGGGGCUACUACCGGAUAGGAGCUCCUGCUGCAUGGUGGGGGUUGGAAAGUUUCGGCGGUUGGGGAUGGACUCGCGGCUUAUCAGCUUGUUGGUGGGGUAGUGGCUUACCAAGGCUUUGACGGGUAGCCGGCCUGAGAGGGUGACCGGCCACAUUGGGACUGAGAUACGGCCCAGAGUCCUACGGGAGGCAGCAGUGGGGAAUAUUGCACAAUGGGCGGAAGCCUGAUGCAGCAACGCCGCGUGCGGGAUGACGGCCUUCGGGGUGUAAACCGCUUUCGCCUGUGACGAAGCGUGAGUGACGGUAAUGGGUAAAGAAGCACCGGCUAACUACGUG